ACGGGCGGUUACCGUCGGACUGCCGGAGAAGGCGCCUGAGAGAUAGCGACUAUAUCCACGGGUAGCAGCAGGCGCGAAACUUUCCCACUCGAGACUUUCGGAGGAGGUAAUGACCAGUUCCAUUGGUGCCUUUUGGUACUGUGGAUAGGGGUACGGUUUUCCACCGUACCGAAACCUAGCAGAGGGCCAGUCUGGUGCCAGCAGCUGCGGUAAUUCCAGCUCUGCGAGUUUGCUCCCAUAUUGUUGCAGUUAAAACGCCCGUAGUCUGAAUUGGCCAGCAAUGGUCGUACGUAUUUUUACGUUCACUGUGAACAAAUCAGGACGCUUAGAGUAUGGCCACAUGAAUGACUCAGCGCAGUAUGAAGUCUUUGUUUUCUUCCGAAAACAAGCUCAAUGAGAGCCAUCGGGGGUAGAUCUAUCUCAUGACGAGUGGUGGAAUACUUUGACUCAUGAGAGAGAAGCUGAGGCGAAGGCGUCUACCUAGAGGGUUUCUGUCGAUCAAGGGCGAGAGUAGGAGUAUCCAACAGGAUUAGAGACCCUGGUAGUUCCUACCUUAAACGAUGCCGACAGGAGUUUGUCAUUUGUUAAUGGCAGAAUCUUUGGAGAAAUCAUAGUUCUUGGGCUCUGGGGGAACUACGACCGCAAGGCUGAAACUUGAAGGAAUUGACGGAAGGGCACACCAGGGGUGGAGCCUGUGGCUUAAUUUGAAUCAACACGGGGAAACUUACCAGGACCAGAUGUUUUUUAUGACUGACAGGCUUCGGGUCUUUCAGGAUAUUGUUUUUGGUGGUGCAUGGCCGUUGGUGGUGCGUGGGUUGACCUGUCUAGCGUUGAUUCAGCUAACGAGCGAGAUUAUCGCCAAAUUAUUUACUUUGCCGAAGUUCCUUCGGUAAAG
rnacentral:ncRNA from 2 species